AAAACUGCAUUUUACCCCAUGUUCUAUUUUUAGCCAUGGCGGCCAUCUUGGUUUGAUGGCCGGGUCACCGGACACAUUUUUCAAACUACUAACCCAAAAGAUGAUUGUGGCCAAGUUUGGAUUAAUUUGGCCCAGUAGUUUCAGAGGAGAAGAUUUUUGUAAAAUAUUACUAAGAUUUACGAAAAAUGGUUAAAAAUUGACUAUAAAGGGCAAUAACUCCUGAAGGGGUCAACUGACCAUUUCAGUCAUGUUGACUUAUUUG
rnacentral:lncRNA from 1 species